rnacentral:rRNA from 1 species
CCUACGGGAGGCAGCAGUAGGGAAUAUUGCUCAAUGGUCGGGAGACUGAACCAGCCAAGCCGCGUGAGGGAGGAAGGUACAGAGUAUCGUAAACCUCUUUUGUCAGGGAACAAAGACUGGGACGCGUCCCCGGAUGAGUGUACCUGAAGAAAAAGCAUCGGCUAACUCCGUGCCAGCAGCCGCGGUAAUACGGAGGAUGCGAGCGUUAUCCGGAUUUAUUGGGUUAAAGGGGUGCGCAGGCGGUCUGUUAAGUCAGCGGUAAAAGCCCGGGGCUCAACCCCGGCCCGCCGUUGAAACUGGCAGUCUCGAGUUGGAGAGAAGUAUGCGGAAUGCGCGGUGUAGCGGUGAAAUGCAUAGAUAUCGCGCAGAACUCCGAUUGCGAAGGCAGCAUGCCGGCUCCACACUGACGCUGAGGCACGAAAGCGUGGGUAUCGAACAGGAUUAGAUACCCCUGUAGUC